CUCGCGACUGUGACAUAGACCCUGCUGUAGUGGAGAGUCAUGGAAAAUGCUGACUUCCUCAUAAACCAAACAUGAACCCCAACCAUCUGCUCCACCGCUAGUUACCUUCAUCUACUGGUCUUACUGCUAUCACCUGUAAUUCUUCAUCACAGAGCAGCUCUGCAGUCAGCAGUUCACAGCACCCAAGUUUCAUUUGAACUCCUAGCAUUUUUUGGAGUGCACCUGUUUCUCUCAGAAGACCACAGAUCUAACUACUUAUAGAAGGGCUGCUGUUCUUCGUGGUCUUCCCCUGUACUUGAGAGAGCCAGCUUAAAUUUCAAAGACUAUUUAGGAUACUGAGGCACUGGGGCCACACACAAAGGCCAUGAAAAUGGGGAUCCUGGAAGUGACUGACAGUUCUACCAACUCAGGACCAUAUCCCACAGUGGUCAAUGUGACUGUAGU
ensembl:lncRNA